UUAAAAGGGAUAGGGAUGGGGAAGGGAAGAAGGGAAGGGAAGGGGGGGGGUUGGGAGGGAGGAGAAGCAGAUGGGCUGGAGGGAGAGCUCAGACAGCGCAGCGGGAAGAGGGGCUUUGGGGGCUCCUGAACAGGCUGCCAGCUCAGCCCGUGCUGCUGGUAAUGGGGACAGGCAGGCCGCACCGCUGCGUUGGGGCAGAUCCCGCCCCGCCUCCCGGUACCGGCCCGGCCCCGCCCCGCACUCACCCGUGUAAUGAACCACGCACGUCUGGCCGCGUUUGGGGAACGUCCGCCCUGCGGGAAGAUGCGAAUCAUCAGCGGAACGGAACCGAGAGCAGCACCGGGGGGAGGAGGGGAUGGGGUAAGAGGGGGGGGAUAAAGAGAGAAGGGACGCGGGGCGCGGCUCACCGUCUCCGGGGGCGAUGGUCUCCACGUGCACGCCCAUGUCGCCGGUGCCGCCGGUGCCGGUCCGUGCGCGGCCGCAGCGCCCGCAACCCGACGGAGGAGGAGGAGGAGGAGGAGGAUGGAGGAGGGGCCACGUGUGCGCAGCCUCCGCCGCCAUCGAGCCCACCCCGCCCCCCGCCCCGCCCCACAACGCCAUCUUGCCCCGCUCCCCCCUCCCACACCGCCAUAAAAGCUCGGCUGCUCUGCGUUAAAAUGGGAUGCUGAAAAGGGCGGAUAAUGGGCUGAAGGAGACCUUAAUUGCUUCUGCUCCUUGCCUGUAUGCUUUAUAUUGAAGUGAACCGUGCAUCAUGUGGGGUUUUGUUUCCUGCUCUGAGCUAUAUCGUUAUUUCUUGCAUUAUUCUGCGGUGCUUUGUGUGCUCUGGUUCCAUCAAUAGGGGAAGUGCACGAGGCCUGGGGUGGGAGGAAAUGAAGGGAGAGGAGAUGGGGCCUGCAGGCAUCAUGGAGUCAUAGGGCAGCCCCAGCUGGAAGGGCCCUAAAAGGAUCACUGCAUCCAAUACAUGCCAUUGCUGCCCCUCACAUCCACCACGGCUGGAUCAAGGCUCAAGGUUCGCAUUAAUUCAGUGCACAACCAGAGGCUGAUUUGCUCAGAUCCUGCCAGUGUGCACCAGGCUGCAGAGCUGCAAGGUCAAGCAGCGGUCAUGCACUGCUCCAGCCCUAAAAAUAACCAGCUUCAUCGAGGCCGAGCACAGCGAUGCUGCCUGCAGCAAUGGCCAGUCCCUCCUCUCCUCCCCUCGCUGUUGCCAGGAGAGAUGUGAGGGUGCUGAGAUCCAGCUUGUACUGAUGUGUGGUUGUUCCUCCCCAGCUGUAAGACCUUAUUGAACCUCAUCAGGUUCCUCUCUGCUCAGCUCUCAUCCUACCCAGCCCUCACUGAAUGGCAGCACAACCUUCUGCUGAGUCAAACUGCAAUAUCCAGCAUCCAGGGCAUCCCUAUGGACCAGCUGGGACAAUACAAGGAACGUUUCAGCGCACCGAUGGCAAAACCUCUAUUUGACUUGGCUGCGAUUUGCUUUAGCAAACACUGUACCAAGCCUCAAGCAUCUGGCAAGCACCCAGCAGCGACCUCCAUGCAGGGGCCCAGCUCCUUCCUGCACACACACACAGGGAGCAGUGCUGGUGUGCCCUGCUUGUCCUGCCCUAUCCCUGUAGUGCAGAGCUCCGUCCCCAUCCUGCAGCAUUAACCUUGCACCGCUGGUGGAGCACGUUGGAGUAUUGUUUGUUCCAUUUCUAAAAUUACCAAAGCUUUUCUCUGGGUUUGGUGGCGGCUUUUGUUCCCUGGAUGCUCGCAGCAGGUACAGCAGAGUUCAGCACAUCUCUGCCCCUUCCAUUGGAAAGUCGGCAACAGCAGCACAAUGCAGAGCCGUGCUGUGUGUUCUGAGCCUGAGUCACACACCGUUACACACCCCCACAGUCCUGCUGAGAGCUGUGUGGGUGCAGGGCUGAGCGAGCACGUGGAGAACACGUUGCUGUGAGGAUGCAGCACCCUGGGAUGCAGACCUUACCCUGCAGUACCCUGCAGCAUGGCUCCCCUAUGCAGUGCAGCACCUUUGUGCCCACCUGGAAGCACGGCUGUGUCGUUUGGUGUCUCAUGGGGUGUUCGUUGCCCCAAGCGCUGAGUAGAGCAGGAGGAGGUUUGACAAGGGAAGGUGCAAUGAGGUUGGAAAGCAGAGUGCAUGCAGUGGUGCAGGACAACAGCUUGUGGGCUUUCUGCAGCUGCAUGGAGAAACGCAGUAUGCUGCAAACCAGGUCCAGUGCUUCAUCCCUGACCGCAGGCUGCUGUCACAUUGAUAUCUUCAGGGUAUUGGUCAGCCAAGCUCCAAACCACCCCACCAACCAUAUGGAGCCAAAUGUGGGCAUGGAGGGCAGCUGGAGCCACCAGGGAGCAAGGCAAGGUGGGGGUUCUGCUCAGUGUAGCUGCUCCUCAUCCCCAAGGGCUGCAGGAAGAACAGGAGCCCCAUUCUGGCUUCUUACCGGGGGCUGUGGAAUCCUUGUCCCCUGCUUUGCCCUCUCCUUAAUGGGUGCAAGGCACGGUGCUGCCCAUACCCAGUCACAGAGCAGGAGGCGUGGGAUGCAUUUCCCACUUUCUCUAUUAAGCAAGAUCCGUAAUUAUAAACCUCUUUCAGUUUGUGAGACCUCCCAUCGCAGCGCAGACCCCACGCAGUGUGUUUGAACCCAGUCACGAGUCAUUUGCCAUUCUGAGCCCCCUUCCACAGCCCGCGGAGCCCAGCAGUCUCCACAGCACAGCCACAAAUUGCUCUUCCAUUAGGAGCAGCAGGAGCCCAGCCGCUGCGUGGGAGCAGUUCCCAAGGCAGCAAUGCUCCCACCACGCAGCUCCCAGCAAGCAAAGGCACAAAGCAGCUGGAGGAGGCACAUGGCAAUGGGCUGACACUGAGGGGCACACGUGGUCUCAUCGCUUUGCUCCUUAAUAAAGGGCCUUUAGGUUGGAAUCCAUCACUGCAUGUCAGAGCACUGCACCGUCCUGGAGUACCUGGGAGCAUUCAACCUGUGCUGCAUCCCAGCGCUGUUUAAAGUGCGUCAUGUCCUGCUCAACAUCCCCUCGGCCAUUGGGGGUUAAUGAAGAAAUCCUGCAUUUCUCAGGCUGAGUCAGAACGCGGUUCAGGAGCCGCAGCACAACUGAGUCAGCAGCAGCAUCUCUUUGCACUGCGAUUUUACUGACAUCUCCCAUCACAAAUAUCGCUCACACUGGACCGCAGCCAGCUCAGUGGGAACCAAAUCCUUGUUGUCUCCCACCGGCAUAUCUAAGCACGUAUCUCCAUAAAGAAGCAAAAUACAUCUCUCUGCACCCAAGACGAAAGGGGAAGCUCAGAAGGAAACAUAAAACCUUGGGUUUCAGUUUUUUUCUGGGUCAUUUUGUACCCACUCAGCUCGCUGUGCUGCACUUGGCCAGGCACGAAGCACCUUUUGAGACUGCACUCAGCAUUCAGCCCUCCGGCUCUUUGGCACUCAUUUACUCUCCAGGUACAAAUAGCUGCAUUUUCUGUGGAUGCACUAGAAAAUCAACAGAUGACCAACAGCCACUUCCCAAAGCAGCUGUAUCUAUUGCUCCACGGCUGACUCAGAGCACGAUUCUCUCCAGCGCAGGAAAAGCUUUUAUUUGUUCUCUGCUCACCUCCUCCUCAAACCCUUUUAUUUUGCACUGCCUCGUUCAAGCAGCCAACGUUCCCCAUGAGGUCUAGACAGGAUGUCCCGAUGGCUGCAGCAGCGCGGGGAGCGCACAUCCUGCUCUGUGUGAGCUCAGCCUGCUGCCAGGGGGACGGCUGGCAGCCAACUGCUAAAGCAGGAUGGCAACGAGCUUUCUAAGAACGCUGCACAAGAUCUAACCAAAGCAGCACAUUGAGGAGCAAGAGGACGAUGCUUCUUCUGUCUCUAUGCUGAUCUUAUGCUAACGGUUGCUUAGGAAUAGGUAGGAAGAGAACGCAGCAGUGCUGUGCCUAUCCCCAUUAUUCUGUUCUGUGAAUGCUCUUUGCAAAAGGCUCAUAGAAACCAAAGCUCUGCAGGCUAAGAAACAAUGUCAUGUUGGAAAUUACCACAAAGGAAAGUUCCUUUCCUGAGAACCCCAUUCCCUGCUGCAGAAACACAAGGUCUUAUCUCUCAAAGCAGCCCAAGGCCCAGGAAUGCUUCAAGCAGCUCCAGUGCGAGCCAUCAGCUUCCUGCAGGGCACUAUGGCCAACAGAGGAAGGCAGCCCCACUGAAAUAACAUGCAAAGCCUGCAGUUGGGAAUUCUUUGGCAGGGAAGUCGAUGGCAGCAGUUGGAUGCGUUCCACUGACAAGUGCUCUGUGUGUGUCAUCCCCCCCCACAGCUGCUCACCCCAUUGCACAGCUGCUCUUCUGGGGGGUACAGAGCUGCAGCCAUCACCACGUGACACUGGACAGGAGAAGGGCUGCUGCCUCUGUAAGCCAGCAGACGUUAAUGUCGUGAAGGAUAAUGAAAGAUACCAGAAUAAAUAAGAAUAUGGAAUCUAUUGAGGUUGGAAAUGGCCUCUCAGAUCCCCCCCCAGCCAACCUCUCUGUGCCCACUGUCCCUCAGUGCCACAUCUCCACAGUUCUGGAGCUCACCUGGAUGGUGCCAUGUGUUUGAGGUACAAGCACCAGUGUGAACACUCAGGCUGGUAGGAAAAGUAACCUCAUUGUGCUAUGAAAUCUGCCCUUUGAAAUCCCUGAACUCCAGCAGUAAGCAUUCUGGCUCACCAACAGACAGACCGUUUGCAGGCAGUAUGGGAUUACACCAUCUCUCUUUCCAAACUCAGCAAUGAGACACAGGCCUGCUGCUGCCCCAAGGCAGGUAUCACAGCCUUCCCCCAUGGCAGUGGGCUUUAAAGAAAGCCCUUUACAUCACCCUUUAUGUGACUGCAGCACCAAUCCCCUAAGCCUGUUCUCCACGGUAACUACAUUCAAGAAACAUCAGCUCAAGGUCCUUGUUCUUGAUAACAAAGGAUGGAAAGCAGCGCUGCUUUCAAAGGAAAGCAUGUCCCAAUUGAACAUCUGAAAUCAGCCCAGGAGCACCUGACAUCCUUUUAAUCACAGCUCCAAAUAAACGCAGCUGUGAAUGGUUCAACCACACAAGGCAGGAACACAGCAGUACCUGCACCUAGAUAUGGGUAUGCCUACAGCAGAGCAAUCCCUGAGCACAACCUCUGGGUCUGCUCCACAUUUCCUGCCAGGAAACACCCGAGAGUGAACUCAGUGUUGCUGUAGGCAGGCAGAGUUCCUAGGAAGUUGUACAAAAGGGCUUCGGAGGGGAAAUGCAGUCAGAAGGCAUUAAUGUGGGACUUGGCAACGCAGACACGUGGAAAGGAAGAGGAGGAAACAACAAACUACGUAGGAUGGGGAAGAACAAAACAGAAGGAAGUGCUACCGAUAGCGGUGUGGGGAAGGGAAAGUUGCUGAAACACAGUGUUCUGCAGAAAACUCAGUUACAGAGAAGAAGCUACAGUCAGAGCACAGUCAUAAAGCUGAGCUGCAACUUACAUGGCAAUUGAAAAGAAGCAAAUUUUCAUGUGAAAUGCACAGCUCUGCCUCAACAGCAGCACUGCCACCAUCUGGCCCCGGGGGAAAAGGCUCCGAUGGGCUGGGAGCCCUCUGGGGAGCUGCACGUUGGAUGUUCGGACCAGUUUCUUCUCCAGAAAGAACACAGAACAGCCCCAAGGCUUGUAAUCUCAUGUAGCUGAAGGCAUCUCCGCGCUGGGAAGGCUGCUAGAUGGGAAACCCAAAGCUGUGAGAGUAGAUGGCAGCACACACGUCACCCAAAACAAGAACAGAUGGUAGCCAUCGUUAGAAAGGGUCAGAUGCUGUUUUCCUGUUUUCUGGGCCUUUAAUGGUUGUUUUCAUAAUAGUUUACAAAUAUGUUGUUACUCACGCUAUGUGUCCACUUAGUAAUGAAAAAAUCUACGUUAAUUCAACUUGUAUAGAAAAGCCCUUGCUGAGCUCUGCUGCCUGCAGUUCUGCAUUAGUACACCCAGCCAAGCGAGUUCCUCGUGCUCAACCUGCCCAACCUGCCAGCCCUCCUGCUGCAAUGCACCCAGAGCUCGCUCUGCUCACAGCAACGUGAGGACAGCAACCACACAGCUCCCAGCUGAGAGGCAGGGGAUGAACAGGACCGCACCACAGCUGCAAUCCUUUUCCAAAGGAUAAUGCAGAUCCCAGCUAGCUGUUAUCUAAAUGCUUACAGCCUUCUAACGUUCUGCUCCAAAGCACAGGCCUGGGAUAGAAAGCGUGUUACAGAGCAGCGAGAAGUGCCACGGCACAACACUAGAUGGCAACUUGCACACGCAAUGCUGUACCAGCACUACCAGACCCUCGUCCAUGAGCAGUGAAUUCACCCACAGCAUUCUGUCCAAAGGAAAGAAAUGGAGACCUGAGUCCAAAAGAGUGGACAGACUGAAGCUGAAGCAUUCCAGGCAUUCAGCUACAUGAUCCUCAGCAAAGGGAAUAAAUCAAGGGGUACUACAGCUGAGAGUUCUUCACCUGAACUCAAUAACUCAUCUUAAAAUCAAAUCUGCUUUCCAGUAAAAUACUGUUUGCCUUGUAGCUUCAGCCAUUUCAAGCUGAUUCAGCUUCGUGCCUUCCUUAGAACAAAAAAUCAGCAGGAAGUUGAGUUUCUCAAACAAACGCAAUACAGCACAUUAAAACUGCAGUCAGUCAGUCUGGACUGAAGGAGAAAGUGCUGGCAGAGCAGGUGGGAACUGUAACAAACACCGUAAGUGUUGCGCUGAAGGAACAGAGUCAGGACUUUCCCUCCAGCAGUGCAAACCUUUGCACCUGCACACACACUGAUCAGUUUCCCACACGCUGAGCAGCAACUGUUUCACAACCAUUUCCCUGACAGCACUUUUAUAGCAGCGUUAACCAUUAUCCUGACAAGCAACGUCAUCCGUUCUUGUACAUUUAUAUUUGAUGUGCAAAAAAAAAAGAGAGGGGAGAGUAACAGACUGCAAAGAGCAUCUGAAUGGCACAGAGGGAAAAUGGGAACUCCCUCCUUACCUUCUUCCCCUCUAAAGAGCACAGAAAGACAUUCCACAAAGGUAACUGAACUCUCCUGGGAGAAUCUGUGGCUCAAUAGGUUGCAUCUCCUUUGAAAACAGGUUCGUUUCCUUUAUUUAUUUUAAAGUCCACUGAUCAUCACCAAAAAAAAAAAAAA